GAUGAACGCUGGCGGCGUGCCUAAUACAUGCAAGUCGAGCGAACAGAUAAGGAGCUUGCUCCUUUGACGUUAGCGGCGGACGGGUGAGUAACACGUGGGUAACCUACCUAUAAGACUGAGAUAACUUCGGGAAACCGGAGCUAAUACCGGAUAACAUUUGGAACCGCAUGGUUCUAAAGUGAAAGAUGGUUUUGCUAUCACUUAUAGAUGGACCCGCGCCGUAUUAGCUAGUUGGUAAGGUAACGGCUUACCAAGGCGACGAUACGUAGCCGACCUGAGAGGGUGAUCGGCCACACUGGAACUGAGACACGGUCCAGACUCCUACGGGAGGCAGCAGUAGGGAAUCUUCCGCAAUGGGCGAAAGCCUGACGGAGCAACGCCGCGUGAGUGAUGAAGGGUUUCGGCUCGUAAAACUCUGUUAUUAGGGAAGAACAAAUGUGUAAGUAACUGUGCACGUCUUGACGGUACCUAAUCAGAAAGCCACGGCUAACUACGUG
rnacentral:rRNA from 1 species